rnacentral:rRNA from 1 species
CUACGUAGGGGGCGAGCGUUGUCCGGAAUGAUUGGGCGUAAAGGGCGCGUAGGCGGCCCGGUAAGUCUGGAGUGAAAGUCCUGUUUUUAAGAUGGGAAUUGCUUUGGAUACUGUCGGGCUUGAGUGCAGGAGAGGUAAGUGGAAUUCCCAGUGUAGCGGUGAAAUGCGUAUAGAUUGGGAGGAACACCAGUGGCGAAGGCGACUUACAGGGCUGUAAAUGACGCUGAGGCGCGAUAGUGUGGGGAGCAAACAGGAAUAGAUACACUGGUAGUCCACACUGUAAACGAUGAAUGCUAGGUGUAGGGGGUAUCGACCCCUUCUGUGCCGCAGUCAACACAAUAAGCAUUCAGCCUGGGGAGUACGGCCGCAAGGUUGAAACUCAAAUGAAUUGACGGGG